rnacentral:rRNA from 1 species
UCUUCCCUCUGGCGGCGUGCUUAACACAUGCAAGUCGAACGGAAAGGCCUCUGCUUGCAGGGGUACUCGAGUGGCGAACGGGUGAGUAACACGUGGGUGAUCUGCCCUGCACUUCGGGAUAAGCCUGGGAAACUGGGUCUAAUACCGGAUAGGACAAUGGUUUGGAUGCUGUUGUGGAAAGUUUUUCGGUGUGGGAUGAGCUCGCGGCCUAUCAGCUUGUUGGUGGGGUAAUGGCCUACCAAGGCGUCGACGGGUAGCCGGCCUGAGAGGGUGUACGGCCACAUUGGGACUGAGAUACGGCCCAGACUCCUACGGGAGGCAGCAGUGGGGAAUAUUGCACAAUGGGCGCAAGCCUGAUGCAGCGACGCCGCGUGGGGGAUGACGGCCUUCGGGUUGUAAACUCCUUUCGCUAGGGACGAAGCGUUUUUGUGACGGUACCUGGAGAAGAAGCACCGGCUAACUACGUG